rnacentral:rRNA from 1 species
CCUACGGGACGCAGCAGUGGGGAAUAUUGCACAAUGGGGGGAACCCUGAUGCAGCGACGCCGCGUGGGGGAAGAAGUCAUUCGUGACGUAAAGCCCUAUCAGCAGGGAAGAAGCAAGACGGUACCUGACUAAGAAGCCCCGGCUAACUACGUGCCAGCAGCCGCGGUAAUACGUAGGGGGCGAGCGUUAUCCGGAUUCACUGGGUGUAAAGGGAGCGUAGACGGCCAUGCAAGCCAGGGGUGAAAGCCCGGGGCCCAACCCCGGGACUGACCUUGGCACUGCAUGGCGGGGGUGCGGGAGGGGCG